UUUUCCGGUUUGUGAUCCUGCCGGAGGUCAUUGCUAUUGGGGUCCGAUUUAGCCAUGCUAGUUGCACGAGUUUAGACUCGUUGCGGAAAGCUCAGUAACACGUGGACAAACUACCCUACGGAGAACGAUAACCUCGGGAAACUGAGGCUAAUAGUUCAUAGGGGAGUCGCGCUGGAAAUGCCGACUCCCCCAAACGCUCCGGCGCCGUAGGAUGUGUCUGCGGCCGAUUAGGUAGACGGUGGGGUAACGGCCCACUGUGCCGAUAAUCGGUACGGGUUGUGAGAGCAAGAGCCCGGAGACGGAAUCUGAGACAAGAUUCCGGGCCCUACGGGGCGCAGCAGGCGCGAAACCUUUACACUGCACGCAAGUGCGAUAAGGGGACCCCAAGUGCGAGGGCAUAUAGUCCUCGCUUUUCUCGACUGUAAGGCGGUCGAGGAAUAAGAGCUGGGCAAGACCAGAAAAAAGACGCCGCGGUAAUACCGGCAGCUCAAGUGAUGACCGAUAUUAUUGGGCCUAAAGCGUCCGUAGCCGGCCACGAAGGUUCAUCGGGAAAUCCGCCAGCUCAACUGGCGGGCGUCCGGUGAAAACCACAUGGCUUGGGACCGGAAGGCUCGAGGGGUACGUCCGGGGUAGGAGUGAAAUCCCGUAAUCCUGGACGGACCACCGAUGGCGAAAGCACCUCGAGAAGACGGAUCCGACGGUGAGGGACGAAAGCUAGGGUCUCGAACCGGAUUAGAUACCCGGGUAGUCCUAGCUGUAAACGAUGCU
rnacentral:rRNA from 1 species